rnacentral:rRNA from 1 species
ACAUGCCUACAACAUAGAGUUAAUGCACUAGAUCCCAUUAGAAAUCUGUAGUUAAGCGUGCUUGGGCUAGAGUAGUACUUGGAUGGGUGACCAGCCGAGAAGUAUUAGUAUUUUACAUGCC